rnacentral:rRNA from 1 species
CGGCGGACGGGUGAGUAACGCGUGGGGAACCUGCCUUACACAGGGGGAUAACAGUUAGAAAUGGCUGCUAAUACCGCAUAACCCGCUGGGGUCGCAUGACUCUGACGGAAAAGAUUGUAUCGGUGUAAGAUGGACCCGCGUCUGAUUAGCUGGUUGGUGAGGUAACGGCUCACCAAGGCGACGAUCAGUAGCCGACCUGAGAGGGUGAUCGGCCACAUUGGGACUGAGACACGGCCCAAACUCCUACGGAAGGCAGCAG